UUCUUAAUAAUAUUAUAAGGCUAUUGAAAAAGGAACCAAAAUUUUUUGAUCAUUCACAAAUAUUUUAUGAAUUUUAUUUUAAACCUGAUAUGAGGUAAAAAUUGAGCAAUUUAGAGUUUGGAUUUACCUAUGUAAAAUCUGACACCUGCAUCGUAUCCAGAAGGUCUGGAAAUGUUAGGAUUGAUCCAUCAUGUUUCAAGACAGGCCGUCAAACAGUCAAAUCUGACAAAAUGCGGCUCCCAGCUAAUGAACUAUUAUCGAUCUGAUUGUACCAACGGCCUUGACCGUCCUUUUCAAACGCUUCUGAUCGGUGCAGGACAGAUUUUAUUUCGAAGAUUUCGUCACCCUGAAUCCAUCAGUGGUCUCGAAUUUUUAAUCUAAAGGGAGGAUCGCUGGAAAAGUG
rnacentral:misc_RNA from 1 species